UCCUGUGUUGCAUUCCUAACGUGAUGGAAAUUGAUCCYGGAUGAGUCCUAAUUUUAGCCUCUCACCACUUGGUGGUGUUAGGUUAACGUGGAAGUAUUGCCCAUUCUCCUUGAAUGCUUCGCCCUUUCGCGUUGCAAUCGUGGCCCAUGGGUAGCUACUACUAGAUCCCACGGAUGCAGAACUUUUGAAGGGUGCACAGCACUUUGCUGUUGCUUACCCACAAAGCGUUCAUGGCUCGAUGCGUACGACGGCUGUGCCCGCCUUGGUCCCCGUCUUUAACUAGUUUGGACGGGUCUCAUGCGGUGCCAGCGUCGCGGAGGAAUGCUACCUGGUUGAUCCUGCCAGUAGUCAUAUGCUUGUCUCAA
rnacentral:misc_RNA from 1 species